rnacentral:rRNA from 1 species
UACAGAGGGUGCGAGCGUUAAUCGGAAUUACUGGGCGUAAAGCGUGCGUAGACGGUUUCGUAAGUCGGGUGUGAAAUCCCCGGGCUCAACCUGGGAAUUGCAUUCGAAACUGCGAGGCUAGGGUACGGAAGAGGGAAGCGGAAUUUCUGGUGUAGCGGUGAAAUGCGCAGAUAUCAGGAGGAACACCAGUGGCGAAGGCGGUGCUCUGGGCCGGAACUGACGCUGAGGAGCGAAAGCGUGGGGAGCAAACAGG